GGAGGGGUGCCCGAGUGGUUAAAGGGAGCAGACUGUAAAUCUGCCGGCCUUAGGCCUACGAAGGUUCAAAUCCUUCUCCCUCCACCA
rnacentral:tRNA from 1 species